rnacentral:tRNA from 1 species
GUUUUAAUAGUUUAAAAUAAAACAUUGGUCUUGUAAACCAAAAUUAAGAACAUCUUUUAAAACU